UCUGUCAUCUUAUUGUUUGCCAGGGUAAAUUUGGUUGACCUGGCUGGCUAGGCAGG
rnacentral:sRNA from 1 species